GAUGAACGCUGGCGGCGUGCCUAAUACAUGCAAGUCGAGCGAACGGACGAGAAGCUUGCUUCUCUGAUGUUAGCGGCGGACGGGUGAGUAACACGUGGAUAACCUACCUAUAAGACUGGGAUAACUUCGGGAAACCGGAGCUAAUACCGGAUAAUAUUUUGAACCGCAUGGUUCAAAAGUGAAAGACGGUCUUGCUGUCACUUAUAGAUGGAUCCGCGCUGCAUUAGCUAGUUGGUAAGGUAACGGCUUACCAAGGCAACGAUGCAUAGCCGACCUGAGAGGGUGAUCGGCCACACUGGAACUGAGACACGGUCCAGACUCCUACGGGGGGCAGCAGUAGGGAAUCUUCCGCAAUGGGCGAAAGCCUGACGGAGCAACGCCGCGUGAGUGAUGAAGGUCUUCGGAUCGUAAAACUCUGUUAUUAGGGAAGAACAUAUGUGUAAGUAACUGUGCACAUCUUGACGGUACCUAAUCAGAAAGCCACGGCUAACUACGUGCCAGCAGCCGCGGUAAUACGUAGGUGGCAAGCGUUAUCCGGAAUUAUUGGGCGUAAAGCGCGCGUAGGCGGUUUUUUAAGUCUGAUGUGAAAGCCCACGGCUCAACCGUGGAGGGUCAUUGGAAACUGGAAAACUUGAGUGCAGAAGAGGAAAGUGGAAUUCCAUGUGUAGCGGUGAAAUGCGCAGAGAUAUGGAGGAACACCAGUGGCGAAGGCGACUUUCUGGUCUGUAACUGACGCUGAUGUGCGAAAGCGUGGGGAUCAAACAGGAUUAGAUACCCUGGUAGUCCACGCCGUAAACGAUGAGUGCUAAGUGUUAGGGGGUUUCCGCCCCUUAGUGCUGCAGCUAACGCAUUAAGCACUCCGCCUGGGGAGUACGACCGCAAGGUUGAAACUCAAAGGAAUUGACGGGGACCCGCACAAGCGGUGGGGCAUGUGGUUUAAUUCGAAGCAACGCGAAGAACCUUACCAAAUCUUGACAUCCUUUGACAACUCUAGAGAUAGAGCCUUCCCCUUCGGGGGACAAAGUGACAGGUGGUGCAUGGUUGUCGUCAGCUCGUGUCGUGAGAUGUUGGGUUAAGUCCCGCAACGAGCGCAACCCUUAAGCUUAGUUGCCAUCAUUAAGUUGGGCACUCUAAGUUGACUGCCGGUGACAAACCGGAGGAAGGUGGGGAUGACGUCAAAUCAUCAUGCCCCUUAUGAUUUGGGCUACACACGUGCUACAAUGGACAAUACAAAGGGCAGCGAAACCGCGAGGUCAAGCAAAUCCCAUAAAGUUGUUCUCAGUUCGGAUUGUAGUCUGCAACUCGACUACAUGAAGCUGGAAUCGCUAGUAAUCGUAGAUCAGCAUGCUACGGUGAAUACGUUCCCGGGUCU
rnacentral:rRNA from 1 species